AAAAAAAAAUUUCUCGAUCUUGGCUAGGUUGUUUAUAGCCGAAAACUUUUUUUUUUGGCUAUAACCAAAACCAAUAUAAUCACAUUUAGUUAUCGAUCUGAAAUCAGGUGGGACUACCCGCUGAACUA
rnacentral:rRNA from 1 species